UUUGCCAUCCAUUUGCCCAACGAUGAUCUGCUUCUCCAGACUGUGCUUCGGAGACCGCAUAAUAUGUCCGAAGAAGCUUAGGGCACGAUUUCGGCAUAUUGAGCAGAGCCGCGUCGUGAUCUUGAGCUCUUUUAAUAUGGACUCAUUCGUACACGUAAAAAGCCUUAAAUUACCAAGUAGAGAAAGUCCAGCAUGAGGUGAGCACGAAGUUUUGAAGACAGGAGUGAUUGUAUUAGAUUUCCUCCUGAGCAGUUGCACUACAAAUUUAGUGAUGAAGAGGCAAUACUUGACGGAAACCUUAAGUGGGAUGACAUAAUUAUAAAGAAAAUCAAUAAGAGGAUGAACUCUUUUAAUGUUUAUAAAACAAUAGUAUGGAAGAAUUUUGAUGCAUCUUGGAGCAAUGGCAACAUAUUUGGGAGUUGUGAGUGACAACGAGCAGAUUACAUAACAAUGGGAGGAUAACAAGGGCCUUAACUGAAAAAACUGG